rnacentral:rRNA from 1 species
AAACCUCCCCAAACCCCUGUGAACAUACCAAUUGUUGCCUCGGCGGAUCAGCCCGCUCCCGGUAAAACGGGACGGCCCGCCAGAGGACCCCUAAACUCUGUUUCUAUAUGUAACUUCUGAGUAAAACCAUAAAUAAAUCAAAACUUUCAACAACGGAUCUCUUGGUUCUGGCAUCGAUGAAGAACGCAGCAAAAUGCGAUAAGUAAUGUGAAUUGCAGAAUUCAGUGAAUCAUCGAAUCUUUGAACGCACAUUGCGCCCGCCAGUAUUCUGGCGGGCAUGCCUGUUCGAGCGUCAUUUCAACCCUCAAGCCCAGCUUGGUGUUGGGACUCGCGAGUCAAAUCGCGUUCCCCAAAUUGAUUGGCGGUCACGUCGAGCUUCCAUAGCGUAGUAGUAAAACCCUCGUUACUGGUAAUCGUCGCGGCCACGCCGUUAAACCCCAACUUCUGAAUGUUGACCUCGGAUCAGGUAGGAAUACCCGCUGAACUUAAGCAUAUCAAUAA